ACUACGGGAGGCAGCAGUGAGGAAUAUUGGUCAAUGGGCGGAAGCCUGAACCAGCCAAGUAGCGUGCAGGAUGACGGCCCUACGGGUUGUAAACUGCUUUUAUACGGGAAUAACGCGCCUUACGUGUAGGGCUUUGCAUGUACCGUAUGAAUAAGGACCGGCUAAUUCCGUGCCAGCAGCCGCGGUAAUACGGAAGGUCCGGGCGUUAUCCGGAUUUAUUGGGUUUAAAGGGAGCGUAGGCCGCAUGUCAAGCGUGCUGUGAAAUGUCCGGGCUCAACCCGGGCCUGGCAGCGCGAACUGGCGUGCUUGAGUCCGCGGAAAGCAGGCGGAAUUCGUCGUGUAGCGGUGAAAUGCUUAGAUAUGACGAAGAACCCCGAUUGCGAAGGCAGCUUGCUGCAGCGGAACUGACGCUGAUGCUCGAAAGCGCGGGUAUCGAACAGGAUUAGAUACCCUUGUAGUC
rnacentral:rRNA from 1 species